rnacentral:lncRNA from 1 species
CCAAGGACAAGGGAGGAUACAUCUGGAUAAGAAGCUAUAAACCGUAAGGAACAGAGGAGCAAUGGGGAACAAGUGUAAACACAUUCAAACACACCCACAACCUCUAAUUCCAUCCUCUUCUUGACUCCACUAUUCACAUUUUUUUUUUGUAUUUUCUCUCUUUUUUUUUCUUUCUUCUUUUUUUUUUAAUCAACACACAAUUCAAAAGACAAGAAAUUUACAUGAUAUUUAUAGUGCAACCGCAAGAAGAGGAC